UAUCGCUUGGGGUGUCCUGUCAACCGACGGGGCUGAGAAAAACCCAUGGAACCUGAACCAGGUCAUACUGGCGGAGGAAAGCGGUCAU
rnacentral:ncRNA from 1 species